CGCUCUUCCCGAAGCGGAGUGAGGCGGGUUCUUCACCGAGAUGUCAGCUGCGGUGGUGGCGCGCAAGGCGAUGUGCUCGCGGUCGACGGAUAUGGCGGCGCCUCCGCACCCACAGAACAAAACCUCCCGCCCAAAGAAGACGAGCUCCCGAACGUACGCACCCUCUACCCGAUCGGGGAGGAGCCGCCACCCCCGCCGCCGCCGGAGAACAACGAGGCCACCUUUCUCCACUGGGUGGACGAGGGGGAUGGGAAAGCAACAGCAAUUGGAGAAACCUAGGUACAGUUAUGUUAAUGGCCAAAAGAUGGAACUUGUUUUCUAGGUGAUAAUUAAACUUCUGAGAAGCAGGUUGAAGGUCAUAUGAAGCCAGUUUUAACUCUGGGAGCAGCUGUCCUUCCUCAAAAAAUUGAUCUUAGCCAGUCUAUUUUGAGUUCACAUAAUUUUUGUGGAACUUAAAAUUGAUUAUUUUGACUUUCAAAUGUCUUUUUUUUCACAUGUUUGUGCAAUUGAAUAUAUCUGCAUAUAUUUAUCUGUUUGGUAUUUUGUUAUUUCUGUUGCAGUCUUGCGUUCCAUACCCUUAUACAGAUCCAUACUAUGGAGGGAUUCUGUCUGCUUUUGGUUCACAUGCUUUGCAUCUGCAAUGCUAUGAAAAGAGCAAGGGGUUCAGGUGGGCGAUUCUUAAACACCAAAGCAGCUCCAGCAGCAGUCAAGAAUGCCACCAGGUCCUCUCUGCUGCAACUGAGUGGAGGUGGAGAGGGGAGCCUCCCGGGAUCUGAAAUCCUCCUCAUGCGAAAUGGCACGACGGGUGCAACAGGCUCACCUACUUGCUACAACGUUACAACCGUGUCCAGCAUUAAUGGAGGUUUAUUCCAGCAUCAGGAUCAUCAUCUCAACUUCUCCACCAACUUGCAUCCCCUUGUUGGGGGAAUCAUAAAAGGCGGGGGACAGCGUAAUUCAUAGCAGCGUCUCAGCAGCAGGUCUCACUUCUCAGUUAUGUUGGCGAUCGAUGUCUGUCUGGUGUUUCCUGGGCAAUUCAUCCCUGGCUUGGAUUUCUUCGACUCUGAAAUUUUCCAUAUGUUAGAUGUCUUGUUAGGAGAAUCAAUAACUAUGUAUAUGUAUGGUGAUGCUCAUGCCGACAUUCUCUUCUUUUGGCAAAUUGUCGAUAACUGGGUGCUAUAUCAGAUCUGUUAUCUGGAUUUGAACUUAAAAUGGACUUGCAGCAUGAUUCAAGGAGGAAAGCAGCGAGUUUAUUGAACUGAAUCUCCAGAACAAUCCUAACUAUUGAGCUGCAGUUGAUUUAUCAA